GAUCCCAGUUACGGCAACCAGUCCGGUACCUACGAAUGUAGUUCUUAAAAAAAAUAUAUAACUUUUAUUUAAAAUGGUGUAGUUUUAUUAUUACACAAGUUCUGUAACUGAAUGUAGAUUUACUUGAAAGGGUAGGCUUUCUAGCUUGAAUUUCUGUAAAAAUUUUGAUUGAUUUAAAUGUAAUCAGGCGUCGGUACAUAGAGUAAAUUGCCUAAAUUCUAGCCUUUAUUCUUCCCCGGAAGUAGAUGGACCUACCCUGUUGUCAAUCGAAACAAAUUUUGCAACGGAAUGCCGGUCAUGAGGCACUGAGAUUGUACUUAGAAACUUCGAAACAAAUGCCUAACAUGAAACAGAAGUCCCAAGCAGUAGAUGAAUGCAGCUAUAUCUUCCUUUGAUUUUGGAACUUUUGAAGAACAGCUUCUGGUUGGUUAACUUGUUUGGACCCAAGUACAUAGAUCUCAGCCACCAACAGUUUGAGUGUCCACCACCACCACACACGUAUGAACUAGUGGGACAUUUAGAGCAGUCACAAGUAUACCAACGCACAGUAGCAUUAAGCAUUCAGGCAGAUCCAGGAUUUCCCUCGACAUUUGUUAAACUGUAGGAGGUGCCGUCUUGACUGGUUUUAGCUACAAGUGAGAACUUCUCUGCAUCUAGCCUCUUCCAUUGUAUAUUAAAUGAACUUAGCUGACUGUUUGAAGACUAAGUCUCAUGAUUUAUACCCUUGUUAUGGGGUAUGCUUCUUUGCAUAUGUAAUUCUUAUAAGAUUUUUUUUUUUAAUUAAAAAAUUAAUUAUAAUUAACUUUUUUUCAGCAAAAUUUUUUUUUAACUAGAUUUCUAUACAAAUAAUGAAUUUAUCUAUCAUGUGCAAUUUACAGAAUGUAAAUAUCUUUUAAAAUAAAAAAGUUUUGCUGAUUUUAAGAAUAUUUUCUUCAUGAAUUUAUGAUUUUAUCCGAUCAAUUUUCUGGUAUUUGAGAUGUCAUAGAUAAGGAUCAAUAACUCUUUAACUGUUGGAUCAAAUCUAUUGAAACUUUGCACAAUAACUACUGAGAUGUAUAUCUUUAUUUAAUAAGUGCAGUUUUAAGUCUAGAAAAAAAAUUAAAGUCUGACAGGAAUAGGAUCCCAGUUACGGCAACCAGUCCGGUACCUACGAAUGUAGUUCUUAAAAAAAAUAUAUAACUUUUAUUUAAAAUGGUGUAGUUUUAUUAUUACACAAGUUCUGUAACUGAAUGUAGAUUUACUUGAAAGGGUAGGCUUUCUAGCUUGAAUUUCUGUAAAAAUUUUGAUUGAUUUAAAUGUAAUCAGGCGUCGGUACAUAGAGUAAAUUGCCUAAAUUCUAGCCUUUAUUCUUCCCCGGAAGUAGAUGGACCUACCCUGUUGUCAAUCGAAACAAAUUUUGCAACGGAAUGCCGGUCAUGAGGCACUGAGAUUGUACUUAGAAACUUCGAAACAAAUGCCUAACAUGAAACAGAAGUCCCAAGCAGUAGAUGAAUGCAGCUAUAUCUUCCUUUGAUUUUGGAACUUUUGAAGAACAGCUUCUGGUUGGUUAACUUGUUUGGACCCAAGUACAUAGAUCUCAGCCACCAACAGUUUGAGUGUCCACCACCACCACACACGUAUGAACUAGUGGGACAUUUAGAGCAGUCACAAGUAUACCAACGCACAGUAGCAUUAAGCAUUCAGGCAGAUCCAGGAUUUCCCUCGACAUUUGUUAAACUGUAGGAGGUGCCGUCUUGACUGGUUUUAGCUACAAGUGAGAACUUCUCUGCAUCUAGCCUCUUCCAUUGUAUAUUAAAUGAACUUAGCUGACUGUUUGAAGACUAAGUCUCAUGAUUUAUACCCUUGUUAUGGGGUAUGCUUCUUUGCAUAUGUAAUUCUUAUAAGAUUUUUUUUUUUAAUUAAAAAAUUAAUUAUAAUUAACUUUUUUUCAGCAAAAUUUUUUUUUAACUAGAUUUCUAUACAAAUAAUGAAUUUAUCUAUCAUGUGCAAUUUACAGAAUGUAAAUAUCUUUUAAAAUAAAAAAGUUUUGCUGAUUUUAAGAAUAUUUUCUUCAUGAAUUUAUGAUUUUAUCCGAUCAAUUUUCUGGUAUUUGAGAUGUCAUAGAUAAGGAUCAAUAACUCUUUAACUGUUGGAUCAAAUCUAUUGAAACUUUGCACAAUAACUACUGAGAUGUAUAUCUUUAUUUAAUAAGUGCAGUUUUAAGUCUAGAAAAAAAAUUAAAGUCUGACAGGAAUAGGAUCCCAGUUACGGCAACCAGUCCGGUACCUACGAAUGUAGUUCUUAAAAAAAAUAUAUAACUUUUAUUUAAAAUGGUGUAGUUUUAUUAUUACACAAGUUCUGUAACUGAAUGUAGAUUUACUUGAAAGGGUAGGCUUUCUAGCUUGAAUUUCUGUAAAAAUUUUGAUUGAUUUAAAUGUAAUCAGGCGUCGGUACAUAGAGUAAAUUGCCUAAAUUCUAGCCUUUAUUCUUCCCCGGAAGUAGAUGGACCUACCCUGUUGUCAAUCGAAACAAAUUUUGCAACGGAAUGCCGGUCAUGAGGCACUGAGAUUGUACUUAGAAACUUCGAAACAAAUGCCUAACAUGAAACAGAAGUCCCAAGCAGUAGAUGAAUGCAGCUAUAUCUUCCUUUGAUUUUGGAACUUUUGAAGAACAGCUUCUGGUUGGUUAACUUGUUUGGACCCAAGUACAUAGAUCUCAGCCACCAACAGUUUGAGUGUCCACCACCACCACACACGUAUGAACUAGUGGGACAUUUAGAGCAGUCACAAGUAUACCAACGCACAGUAGCAUUAAGCAUUCAGGCAGAUCCAGGAUUUCCCUCGACAUUUGUUAAACUGUAGGAGGUGCCGUCUUGACUGGUUUUAGCUACAACAGUAGAUGAAUGCAGCUAUAUCUUCCUUUGAUUUUGGAACUUUUGAAGAACAGCUUCUGGUUGGUUAACUUGUUUGGACCCAAGUACAUAGAUCUCAGCCACCAACAGUUUGAGUGUCCACCACCACCACACACGUAUGAACUAGUGGGACAUUUAGAGCAGUCACAAGUAUACCAACGCACAGUAGCAUUAAGCAUUCAGGCAGAUCCAGGAUUUCCCUCGACAUUUGUUAAACUGUAGGAGGUGCCGUCUUGACUGGUUUUAGCUACAACAGUAGAUGAAUGCAGCUAUAUCUUCCUUUGAUUUUGGAACUUUUGAAGAACAGCUUCUGGUUGGUUAACUUGUUUGGACCCAAGUACAUAGAUCUCAGCCACCAACAGUUUGAGUGUCCACCACCACCACACACGUAUGAACUAGUGGGACAUUUAGAGCAGUCACAAGUAUACCAACGCACAGUAGCAUUAAGCAUUCAGGCAGAUCCAGGAUUUCCCUCGACAUUUGUUAAACUGUAGGAGGUGCCGUCUUGACUGGUUUUAGCUACAACAGUAGAUGAAUGCAGCUAUAUCUUCCUUUGAUUUUGGAACUUUUGAAGAACAGCUUCUGGUUGGUUAACUUGUUUGGACCCAAGUACAUAGAUCUCAGCCACCAACAGUUUGAGUGUCCACCACCACCACACACGUAUGAACUAGUGGGACAUUUAGAGCAGUCACAAGUAUACCAACGCACAGUAGCAUUAAGCAUUCAGGCAGAUCCAGGAUUUCCCUCGACAUUUGUUAAACUGUAGGAGGUGCCGUCUUGACUGGUUUUAGCUACAACAGUAGAUGAAUGCAGCUAUAUCUUCCUUUGAUUUUGGAACUUUUGAAGAACAGCUUCUGGUUGGUUAACUUGUUUGGACCCAAGUACAUAGAUCUCAGCCACCAACAGUUUGAGUGUCCACCACCACCACACACGUAUGAACUAGUGGGACAUUUAGAGCAGUCACAAGUAUACCAACGCACAGUAGCAUUAAGCAUUCAGGCAGAUCCAGGAUUUCCCUCGACAUUUGUUAAACUGUAGGAGGUGCCGUCUUGACUGGUUUUAGCUACAACAGUAGAUGAAUGCAGCUAUAUCUUCCUUUGAUUUUGGAACUUUUGAAGAACAGCUUCUGGUUGGUUAACUUGUUUGGACCCAAGUACAUAGAUCUCAGCCACCAACAGUUUGAGUGUCCACCACCACCACACACGUAUGAACUAGUGGGACAUUUAGAGCAGUCACAAGUAUACCAACGCACAGUAGCAUUAAGCAUUCAGGCAGAUCCAGGAUUUCCCUCGACAUUUGUUAAACUGUAGGAGGUGCCGUCUUGACUGGUUUUAGCUACAAGCUGAUGUAAUGACAAUGAUUUCAUGGUGUUGGGAGUAAGAAUUGGAGAUCUGAUACUGCUAACAUGUUGGUUAGCAUCACAGCUUGUCCAUAGGGAUACUGGCUGGGGUAGCAUUUGGAUCUGUUUCAAGGUGUGUUCCUGCUGCUGCCUUGUGUGUUCAAUCCUGUGGACAAUAAUAAUCAUGCAAACCACAUAUAUGUUGCAUUUUUGUUUAUUAAAAUCCUUAAGUGAUAAUUCUGAAAGCCAAAUGAUUAAUUUUUUAAUGCUAUUAUUUAUUUUCCAUUUACUGUAAACUCACAAAUUUUUGUUUUUUAAUGCUGUUAUUUAUUUUCCAAUUAUUGAAAAUUCACAGAUUUUUGAUAUAUUUUUUUUACUGAAAAUUGCUACACCGAGAUAGAUUUUGCAAAAAUAAAAUUAUAUUUUAAAUUUUGAUAGCAUUAUUUAUUUGCAACAUGUCCUUAAUGACAAUAAUUAAUUUAAAUAAAUGCUUGCAAAUUUUUUUUGA